GCUGCCCUAGCUCAGCGGUAGAGCACUUCCUUGGUAAGGAAGAGGUCUCGGGUUCAAUCCCCGAGGGCAGCUCCA
rnacentral:tRNA from 2 species